CCUACGGGAGGCAGCAGUGGGGAAUAUUGCACAAUGGGGGAAACCCUGAUGCAGCGACGCCGCGUGAGUGAAGAAGUAAUUCGUUACGUAAAGCUCUAUCAGCAGGGAAGAAACACUGAUCUUACGGUCAGUAGACGGUACCUGAGUACGAAGCCCCGGCUAACUACGUGCCAGCAGCCGAGGUAAUACGUAGGGGGCAAGCGUUAUCAGGAUUUACUGGGCGUAAAGGGAGCGUAGACGGUGAGGCAAGUGUGGAGUGAAAUGCCGCAGCUUAACUGCGGAACUGCUUUGGAAACUGGCGAACUAGAGUGCGGGAGGGGUAAGCGGAAUUCCUAGUGUAGCGGUGAAAUGCGUAGAUAUUAGGAGGAACACCGGUGGCGAAGGCGGCUUACUGGACCGUAACUGACGUUGAGGCUCGAAAGCGUGGGGAGCAAACAGGAUUAGAUACCCUUGUAGUC
rnacentral:rRNA from 1 species